UGACGUUCCAGGUGCGANAGCGUGGGGAGCAAACAGGAUNAGAUACCCUGGUAGUCCACGCNGUAAACGAUGUNGANUUGGAGGUUNGUGCCCNUGAGGCGUGGCUUCNGGAGCUAACGCGUUAAGUCGACCGCCUGGGGAGUACGGCCGCAAGGUUAAAANUNAANNGAAUUGACGGGGGCCCGCACAAGCGGUGGAGCAUGUGGUUUAAUUCGAUGCAACGCGAAGAACCUUACCUGGUCUUGACAUCCACGGAAGUUUUNAGAGAUGAGAAUGUGCCUUCGGGAACCGUGAGACAGGUGCCGCAUGGCUGUCGUCAGCUCGUGUUGUGAAAUGUUGGGUUAAGUCCCGCAACGAGCGCAACCCUUAUCCUUUGUUGCCAGCGGUCCGGCCGGGAACUCAAAGGAGACUGCCAGUGAUAAACUGGAGGAAGGUGGGGAUGACGUCAAGUCAUCAUGGCCCUUACGACCAGGGCUACACACGUGCUACAAUGGCGCAUACAAAGAGAAGCGACCUCGCGAGAGCAAGCGGACCUCAUAAAGUGCGUCGUAGUCCGGAUUGGAGUCUGCAACUCGACUCCAUGAAGUCGGAAUCGCUAGUAAUCGUGGAUCAGAAUGCCACGGUGAAUACGUUCCCGGGCCUUGUACACACCGCCCGUCACACCAUGGGAGUGGGUUGCAAAAGAAGUAGGUAGCUUAACCUUCGGGAGGGCGCUUACCACUUUGUGAUUCAUGACUGGGGUG
rnacentral:rRNA from 1 species